rnacentral:rRNA from 1 species
UACGUAGGUGGCGAGCGUUAUCCGGAUUUACUGGGUGUAAAGGGCGUGUAGGCGGCUCUGCAAGUCAGAUGUGAAAUUUCCGGGCUUAACCCGGACGGGUCAUCUGAAACUGCAGGACUUGAGUACUGGAGAGGAUAGCGGAAUUCCUAGUGUAGCGGUAAAAUGCGUAGAUAUUAGGAGGAACACCGGUGGCGAAGGCGGCUAUCUGGACAGUAACUGACGCUGAGGCGCGAAAGCGUGGGGAACAAACAGGAUUAGAUACCCUGGUAGUCCCU